UCGUCAAACGACUCCACCACUGUCAAACUCGUCGACACACAAAAAAAGACAAGUAUUUUUUAAAUAUUUUUAUUUCUCUGAAAUGUAAGUUGAAUCUUCAGAUUCAACUACAUACAUAUGUACAUAUAUAAGAUAUGCCGGGUCGUUGAUGCUGAGGAAUGUCAAGUCAGCACAACGGCUUCAGGUAAAUUUAGGAAAUAAGAUUUUUGUAAAGAAUAAAAUGAUGAUUAAUAAACUGGACGGCAAGCCGCUCAGUACGGUAAA